UUAGGGAGCUUCUGCCUUGAGUGACACACAAAGGGUAACACAAUUACUCUGUGUGCUGAAUCAACAACAAGAGAACUCAAAAGCAUAGUUUUUUGGUACUUGGGCAGCUGGCAAUCACUGGUCCCAGAGCCCUA
ensembl:snRNA